AGAUAAGUUAAUAAGAGCGUGUGGUGAAUGCCUAGGCUCUCAGAGGCGAAGAAGGACGUGACAAGCUGCGAUAAGCUUCGAUUAGGUGCAAAUAACCGUUUGACUCGAAGAUUUCCGAAUGGGGCAACCCAUCUAUCAUAAGGUAGAUAUCCAGCAAUGGAGGCAAACCCGCUGAACUGAAACAUCUAAGUAAGCGGAGGAAGAGAAAACAAUAGUGAUUCCCUAAGUAGUGGCGAGCGAACGGGGAAUAGCCCAAACCAACAAUGUUUCGGCAUUGUUGGGGUUGUAGGACUGCAACAUGAGAUUAUUUGUAAAAUGGAACCAACUGGAAAGUUGGGCCGUAGAAGGUGAAAGCCCAGUACAUGUAAGCAAAUAUAAUCUAGCAGUAUCCUGAGUAGCACGGGACACGUGAAACCCUGUGUGAAUCCGGCGGGACCAUCCGCCAAGGCUAAAUACUCCUGAGAGACCGAUAGUGAACUAGUACCGUGAGGGAAAGGUGAAAAGUACCCUGAACAAGGGAGUGAAAUAGAACCUGAAACCGCACGCUUACAAGCGGUCGGAGUUCCGUUUACGGAAUGACGGCGUGCCUUUUGCAUAAUGAGCCUACGAGUUACUCCUCACUAGCGAGGUUAAGAUUUUCAGAAUCGAAGCCGAAGCGAAAGCAAGUCUGAAUAGGGCGUUUAGUUAGUGGGGGUAGACGCGAAACCGUGUGAUCUACCCAUGGUCAGGUUGAAGUGUCAGUAAAAUGACAUGGAGGACCGAACCCGUUGACGUUGAAAAGUCUUGGGAUGAACUGUGGGUAGGGGUGAAAGGCCAAUCAAACUCGGAAAUAGCUCGUACUCCCCGAAAUGCAUUUAGGUGCAGCCUCAUUAAAGUGUCAUAGAGGUAAAGCUACUGAUUAGGCUAGGGGGCUUCACCGCCUACCAACCCUUGAUAAACUCUGAAUGCUAUGACAUGAUUAAUGGGAGUGAGGGCAUGGGUGCUAAGGUCCAUGCCCGAGAGGGAAAGAACCCGGACCAUCAGCUAAGGUCCCCAAAUAUAUACUAAGUUGACCUAACGUGGUCUGAUUGCUAAGACAGCUAGGAUGUUGGCUUGGAAGCAGCCAUUCAUUUAAAGAGUGCGUAACAGCUCACUAGUCGAGCGAUCGGGCGUGGAUGAUAAUCGGGCAUAAGUAUAUUACCGAAGCUAUGGAUUCUGCAUUAACAUGUAGAGUGGUAGGGGAGCAUUCCAAGGGCGUUGAAUGUGAGGCGCGAGCCUUGCUGGAGCGCUUGGAAAAGCAAAUGUAGGCAUAAGUAACGAUAAUGCGGGCGAGAAACCCGCACACCGAUAGACUAAGGUUUCCUGAUCAACGCUAAUCGGAUCAGGGUUAGUCGGGACCUAAGGCGAACCCGAAAGGGGUAGUCGAUGGACAACUGGUCAAAAUUCCAGUACUUCAAUAUACUGCGAUGGGGUGACGAAGAUGUGAAAGUACCGCGUACUGACGGAAUAGUACGUUGAAGGGUGUAGAUGUUGAUCUGAGAUUGGUAAAUCCGCUCGGAGAGUCGAACCUGAAAGUACCGUGAGCCUUCGGGCAAGCGGAUAGUGUACCUAACCACGCUUCCAAGAAAAACCUCUAAGCUUCAGGUAUAUUGGACCCGUACCGCAAACCGACACAGGUAGUCAAGGAGAGAAUCCUGAGGUGCUCGAGUGAUUCAUGGCUAAGGAACUAGGCAAAAUAACCCCGUAACUUCGGGAGAAGGGGAUCCCGACUAUAAACGUCGGGACGCAGAGAAAUGGCCCAAGCGACUGUUUAUCAAAAACACAUGGCUUUGCAAAAUCGAAAGAUGAAGUAUAAGGCCUGACACCUGCCCGGUGCUG
rnacentral:rRNA from 1 species